ACACAAACAAACCUCUACCACCUUUCAAGAUAGAUGUCGUCGUUGUCGUUGUCUUUCUUUUCGGGGGGAAAUCUGCAAGUGCAAGUGCAUAUACACAACCUAAAAAAAAAAACAGCAUGGGGGCUAAAAUUUUUGUUGUCAUUUCUAUCGACAAACGGGAAGAAAAAGUUUCAUUGUUGCACAGCGGCGCUCUGCAUAUUGUCAUUCUACAAAACCGGCAAACAAACAGAUCUGCUGGUAACAGAUUGUCAAGUAAAAUCCACGAAUGCUUGUGGACAAUGUCGUCCGCCGUCGACAAUGUUCGAUUUGAUUUUUGGUUCGCAAAAGACAGACGUGACCAUCGCGAUGACACAUAAUUCUUCGCGAUAUGGGUGCUGUGGAAUUUGGGAUACCGAAGACAGCACGAAAUCUAAAAAAUGCAACGAAAUAUUUUGAAUUCUUUCCCACAAGCAAAAGAAACGUAUAAAAAAGUAACCUAAUUAUUUAAAAAUAUCAAAACCACAAGUCUCAAAAAUGAUGCCAAAGAAUAUUGUUUCGUGUUCAAAUUUUGAUAAAUCAAAGUUCCGAUUGAAGUCGUCUUGUCAUCGUGUAUGGAAUAUUAUGAGAGCAUUACU